AUGAACGCUGGCGGCGUGCCUAAUACAUGCAAGUCGAGCGAAUGGAUUGAGAGCUUGCUCUCAAGAAGUUAGCGGCGGACGGGUGAGUAACACGUGGGUAACCUGCCCAUAAGACUGGGAUAACUCCGGGAAACCGGGGCUAAUACCGGAUAACAUUUUGAACUGCAUGGUUCGAAAUUGAAAGGCGGCUUCGGCUGUCACUUAUGGAUGGACCCGCGUCGCAUUAGCUAGUUGGUGAGGUAACGGCUCACCAAGGCAACGAUGCGUAGCCGACCUGAGAGGGUGAUCGGCCACACUGGGACUGAGACACGGCCCAGACUCCUACGGGAGGCAGCAGUAGGGAAUCUUCCGCAAUGGACGAAAGUCUGACGGAGCAACGCCGCGUGAGUGAUGAAGGCUUUCGGGUCGUAAAACUCUGUUGUUAGGGAAGAACAAGUGCUAGUUGAAUAAGCUGGCACCUUGACGGUACCUAACCAGAAAGCCACGGCUAACUACGUGCCAGCAGCCGCGGUAAUACGUAGGUGGCAAGCGUUAUCCGGAAUUAUUGGGCGUAAAGCGCGCGCAGGUGGUUUCUUAAGUCUGAUGUGAAAGCCCACGGCUCAACCGUGGAGGGUCAUUGGAAACUGGGAGACUUGAGUGCAGAAGAGGAAAGUGGAAUUCCAUGUGUAGCGGUGAAAUGCGUAGAGAUAUGGAGGAACACCAGUGGCGAAGGCGACUUUCUGGUCUGUAACUGACACUGAGGCGCGAAAGCGUGGGGGAGCAAACAGGAUUAGAUACCCUGGUAGUCCCCGCCCGUAACCAUGAGUG
rnacentral:rRNA from 1 species